rnacentral:rRNA from 1 species
UACGGAGGGUGCGAGCGUUGUUCGGAAUUAUUGGGCGUAAAGCGCGUGUAGGCGGCUUGGUAAGUCGGGUGUGAAAGCCCGGGGCCCAACCCCGGAACUGCACUCGAUACUGCCUCGCUAGAGUCCCGGAGAGGAGAGCGGAAUUCCCGGUGUAGAGGUGAAAUUCGUAGAUAUCGGGAGGAACACCAGCGGCGAAGGCGGCUCUCUGGACGGUGACUGACGCUGAGACGCGAAAGCGUGGGGAGCAAACAGG